CAGAGAUGAUGAGUUGAUGGCAGACAGCUGAGCAGGCUGGAGACCCAACCCCAGCACACCAGACCCCAAUCCUGCAAUCAAGCACACACAAACACACAGAAAGACAAGCUCUGGGGCAGAGGGCAUGACAGCCUGAGCAAACAUACAAGUGGUCUGAGGAGGAGACAGAACUCCUCAUAAAGUUGAGAAGUCGCACUGAGGCUCUUUCCACAUGCUCCCAAACAGGAUCGGGGGCUCCUCAAUGUCCCCAACUCCCAAACAGAUGUUGUGGAGUGCAGCACAGCAAGUAAUGAUGGCGGGGACAAAUGUAGGGUCGACCUCCAGGGCAUUGAAGAAGAUGCUGCGCCACCUUGUUUUCUUCACUCCAGCUGUAUGAUACAGCGGGCCUUGGCAUGAUGACAGUGAUGCCACUCCUGCACUCUGCCAUGCAGUGGUUCCCUAUAGGGUGUUAUGAUUAAAAAAAAUGUAGAGGUACCAACCAUUCCCUGGACCUGCAGGAGGGUACAACAGAUCUAUGAGGAGGGGGCUGUUUUUGAGUGCUCUUGUUUCUGAUCCUAGGAUCCUAGGCCUGUGGAAGCAUCUAAAAACACAGACUGCAUGGAGCUGGACAGACUGAAACAGCUUCCUGUCCAGAUAGUCUUUGGCAGCAUGACCUGCAAGUGCCUUGUUCCUGAUGUGGCAUCCAUCAAUUGCACCUACAUAGGUCUCCAAAGCAUCUUGCUGUGCUAGUGCAGCAAAGCCUUGUCCAACCACAUCAAGCUCAUGGGGCUUGGAGAACUGGAUACAGUGCUUCCUCUUGUCCACUAUCCUCUGUUCCAUCUUAUUGACAGCAUGGAAGGUGCUGGUCUUUGAGACAGCAAAGGCACAGCAAAGCACACUCUAAGAGGCCCUGUGAGCCAACCACUAAAGGAAGAUUUCCAGCCAUGGGUCUUUAUGGUGCAUACUAUGCCAUCACCAUAUUCACAGCACCACCUAUGCGAAAAUCAGUCAUCAGUACAUCCACAACAUCAAAAUACAACUUCAGCAAUGGUACCCCUGCUGUUAUUACGUUAAAGCAGUCAGUCGUUAAAGCAGUCAGUCAAGUAUAAUGUGUGCUAUUGCUGAUAAUCUUAUAUGAUUUCUUGAGGAAUAUUUCCUGCAUUGAAUUGUAGGCUACAGGCUUUUUGUAUGCUAUUUUUCUAAGCUAAGAAAGACAUUUCUGAAAUUGCAAGCCUUAUUAACCAAAUGUCAACGUAAUGCAGUCAUCCAAAAGGACAUGUCUCG